rnacentral:lncRNA from 1 species
CCCUGAUCCAAUCUAUUUACCUAUGUGCUGCUAUAUCCAACACACAUACAGACUACCAAUGUGCAAUCCUCUCUCCUUGAGAUUUUCAACUUGGAGUUCUUGGAGUUACUUAUGAACUCUAGCUCAUAAUUGGUUUUGCCCUGCCUCAAUUUCAAAGCUGCUAUUGGGUUGGAAAAGACUGUUGUUGGAAAGGACUGUUGUCCAGGCUCCAAAAAGUCCAGACAAGGUCUCCAGAGACUCUCUAUUUUUCCUCCAGAUCCUUUUACUGACAUUAAUGAUGAAGCAGCUUUGUCUGUGUCUCUGCCUUGGUUAGCAAUGCCUUAGUGACAGGGCAGCUCCAGAUGCAUUAGAUCAGCAGCUGAUGCCAUCAUGCGAAUGUCUAACACUUACUUUAGCAGUAGAAGACUUUCUUCAUUUAAAAUCUUACAGGAAAUCCCUGUGUUCAAAAGGAAAAAAAAAAUCAGUAGGGGAUCUGGAGCCCAGCCAGCACUGUCCUCUUUCUCCCAAGAGGGGAAAACUGAUCCAAACCGAGGUCCGAACUGGAUGGACUCCUCGAGAAUCAGAACUUCAAUACCAGUGACGUAAUUGGAACCCAGGUCCCUGGCCCCCCAGUUCUGGGCUCUUUCUACUAUUCGACGCUGCCUCCUGCAAAACGUGUCCUAUUUUGAGGCACCCUUGUUUAUCACAGAUUUGUUGUACUCCCCUUUUUUUGCAGUCUUUGAAAUUUCUUUUCUCGUGUUCUCUCACUUAUUUCCCAAAAGCCAUUUGUUAUGUAACAGAUGAAUAUGUGUUCCUGUUUAUAAAUAUUCUACAGUAAGUCAAGAAAAUGUGGGGAAAUAGGGGGAAAAGGCUAAUAGGACCUUCAAACCCUCUAUCUGGAAAUGUCGGGAAUCUAGACUGUGUCUAAGGGGCAAAGGUCACAAAAGAAGAACAAAGCCAGGAAGCUGAACCUGGUCUUGUAUGUUUGGAUCCCAUCUCAUUCGUUUUUCCCUUCAUUUUCAGUCUGUCCAAAAUUAGGAUGUUUGGUGUUAUGGAGGUUCACCUGGGAAAAAUCAGGAGGCCGCCGAGUGUAACUGUGGGAUGGCAUCACAGUAAGCAAGAAGCUUAAAAUCUAAUCCAUUACCAGGGAAUUGAAUCCAGGGAACAUGGCUUCAUUAAAGACUACGACUUUAUAAAUAACUACACAUAAAUAGACCGCUUUGCCUUAGAGAAUAAUAUAUUUCAAAAUUAUUAUCUACUUAAAAUAUUUUACCUAAAAGAAUUCACAAUUAGCUUUCAAUAUUUAAACAGUACAUUAGAAAUGGAAUGAUUAUAAAUAUCAGAAACAAAAGCCACUUCAUUACAGUAUGAACAUAUGCUAACAUACCACAUACUGCUUUUGAAUUUAAUAAUAAUAUAGUUUAUCUUUUUUUAACUGACAUAAGGGUUUUGAUAAUAGCUAAUAUAAAUAUAUGAAAUGUCAAAUUUAGAAGAUAGUGCUUAAACAUUUGUCUCUUAGAGAGUAUUGUUAAACUUAACUUUUAUUAACUCUGAGAAUCAAAGAGAAAUAUGGUGAUGCUAGUGAACGUUUGAAAAUCUUUUAUUUUAUCACUUUUAAUGCAUGUUUAAUAUUUAACAUUCAUCUUAUUACAGUCAGGAAUUGUGAAAUGCUUGUGCUGUUUCUAAACAGUUUUAAAGUUCAAUGCACAGUCACAAUUCAGAGGGGAGAUUUCACACAUUUAUGGAAAAUAAGCCAUUUUUGCAGUAAAGUUGCAAAGUGUGAAAGAAUUCUUGUUUUAUCUGCCUUACUUAUCAUGUUUAUGAAUUAUUUUGCCUGGAAGUAAAUUGACAAGUUGUCAAUGAACAAUAGAAAGUGCCCCAGCUAGGCUUUUCACAGGUUCAGAUGCCUUUGGGCAAAAGGGCUAAAUCUGUAGUUGCAAUCUAGCAUAUGGAGCACUGAAAAAAGUGGCAACAGGGUGAGAGACAUUCCCUGCAAAAUGCAUGCGGUUGUUGCUCUCUAACCAAUCUGCUUGGACCACUGUACAUUAUGAAUUCAGGUACCAUCGUCUUGCCAUACAGGAAUAGGAUUCCUUGCCUCCAUAUAAUAAUUUGUUUCUGUUUUAUCCUAGUUUACUUUGGUCUACUUUGUCAUUUUGAACUAUUUUAAUUCUCCAAAUGAUUAUUAUUAAAUAUUCAUCUUUAGUAAUAAAAAGCCAUUUCCCUAUUCUAGGUGACUGUCUAUUGGAAACUUCCCACAGAAUCCCAUAGGAAGGAAAACAAUCUCAGAGACCCUUUUUUCAGUGGGUAAGGGUAGACCUUGACUUCCGCCUUUAACCACCACAUUUUAGGAUUACCUGGCUAUAACAUUUCAUGUCCUUUUCUCCCAUCUCAUGUUUUUCACAAUGCUAUUUUGAGACUAUUUUAUGAUAACUCAUACAGCUGAAUAAAUUACUAAACAGCUAAGUGGGCUUUCAGUAGAUGGCACUCUUUGUUCUGAAUCAGCCCAAUAUUGUUUUGCCACUUCACUGAAAGGCCAGCUGUUCUUUGAAGCUCCUGCCUUCCAGAUAUGCCACUCUCUAAGACACAGGGAUGUGGUUUAGGGUAAAAGUUAUGGCUGGGAUUUCUAACCCAAGAAACAAGAAGGACACAAAAGACAGCCUCAUGAAUAAGAGUUCAUUAGGAAAAAAAAAAAAGCUGAAGUUUGAAUAUGAGAAAAGCCAAGUCCGGUGUCAGUUAUGGAUGUGGUUAGACUCAUAGAGCCAAGAGUUUUAAUGUAGACUUGAAAUAAGCUCAGAGAAAGUGCAUGUUAGAAAGAAGUGACGUGGAAGGUGACUGGGAUUUUAUAGGAAAAUCUAAAAGUGAUGAUUACUGACCUUGAUGGGCCAGCCAGCUCAUGGUGUAUGGGAGGGUCAGGCCAGACAAAGCAGGAGUAUAUUUCUGCUCUCUAGUGGUUUCUUGUUUAUCACACACCCCUUUUCUAUCUGUCUCCACAGUCAUUGAUGAUUCUUGCCCCUGGUUUGCACUCUUUUCCUAAUCUCCAGGCAUCAUCUUGUGUCACUUCCACACUAAGUAGAUGAUCUCUUUAGUACUUGUAAGUCUCCUCCAUUGGGAGCUUCUCUAGCCUUUCAUCUUCAUUUCAUUGUAACAAUGUCGUGGCCACAUCCUGGACCUUGUCUCCACUUACAAAAUAAUUCACUCAGAGAGUGGGAUCUCCUGCUCUAUUCACAGUGUUAUAAUGUAUGGAUAGUGUUAUAAUGGGUUCCUGCUACUGUGUUGCCUCAAAACCUACUCUUCACGUUUAAUAUAUUCCCCAACACGUCAACCCCCGCCUACUUAGGUUCCAACUCCAACUACCUGCAUUAAUCUCACUGUUAACGUAAUAAUUUUAAUGACAAUAUUACCAAAACCUCCAAUUCACUCACUCCCAUAAGGCAAUGUACAGUGGAAAAGAACAUUCCUGGAAUCAGAGAGUACUACAGGCUUUUGCCACUUUUGAAAACCUGCUAUUUCAAACUUUGUUCAUCUGUAAAUUAGACUCAAUGUCUAACAAAUACCUUUUUUAUUGAGAAAUUGCUGCUGCUUUAAUGAAAUAACACAGAUAAUAUCUCUUCAGACCAGUUUCUUCUCCAUCGUCUUCCCUUACUCUUCUGCUGUAACCAUCCUGAAAAUUCCACAUCAGGAAUGAGCCCUUCUAUUCAUUUUUAUCUACUCCUGUUCCUAGGCUUCUGAAGGCACCCAGGAAAAUCUCUUAACUGUGCUAAUAAUUUUUGCAAAUUUAGGAAUUUCUACUAAUUCUUUUUUUUGUGUUCAUGAAGUAAUUUACUUAUUUAUUUAUUAUACUUUAAGUUCUAGGGUACAUGUGCACAGCCUGCAGGUUUGUUACAUAUGUAUACAUGUGCCAUGUUGGUGUGCUGCACCCAUUAACUCGUCAUUUACAUUAGGUGUAUCUCCUAAUGCUAUCCCUCCCCUCUCCCCCACCCCACGAAAGGCACCAGUAUGUGAUGUUACCCUUCCUGUGUCCAAGUGUGCUCAUUGUUCAAUUCCCA